UCUAGAGUCCGGGCUGCACGCGCGCUACACUGCACAGAGACAACGAGUGGGUCCCUUGUCCGAAAUGACUGGGUAAACUUGUGAAACUCUGUCGUGCUGGGGAUGGAGCUUUGUAAUUUUUGCUCUUCAACGAGGAAUUCCUAGUAAGCGCAAGUCAUCAGCUUGCGUUGAUUACGUCCCUGCCCUUUGUACACACCGCCCGUCGCUACUACCGAUUGAAUGGCUUAGUGAGGACUUGGGAGAGUGCGUUGGGGAGCCAGAAAUGGCACUUUGACGGCUCAAACUCUUACAAACUUGGUCAUUUAGAGGAAGUAAAAGUCGUAACAAGGUAUCUGUAGGUGAACCUGCAGAUGGAUCAUUUCGAGUGAAACCUUUUUUCCGAGGUGUGGCUCGCACCUGUCUAACUAAACUGGGCUACCUAUUUCAACACGGUUGCAUCGGUUGGGUCUGCCAAACAGUGCACGAAAGUACCUGUGGAGGCAGCCCGAUAAUCUACCAAAACACUUUUGAUGGUCUAGGAUUUGAAAGUAUUUAACAUUUUACGACUGGUAAUGCGGUCGUCUAAAAUCUAAAAAACAACUUUUGGCAACGGAUCUCUUGGUUCUCCCAUCGAUGAAGAACGCAGCGAAUUGCGAUAAGUAAUGUGAAUUGCAGAAGUGAAUCAUCGAAUCUUUGAACGCACCUUGCGCUCCUUGCAGAUCUAAUCUGGGGAGCAUGCCUAUUUGAGGGCCGCGAAUUGUUUCGAACGCACGCUUUUUUAUUAC
rnacentral:rRNA from 1 species